GAAGCAGCCAUCAUUUAAAGAAAGCGUAAUAGCUCACUGGUCGAGUCGGCCUGCGCGGAAGAUGUAACGGGGCUAAACCAUGCACCGAAGCUGCGGCAGCGACACUAUGUGUUGUUGGGUAGGGGAGCGUUCUGUAAGCCUGUGAAGGUGGCCUGUGAGGGUUGCUGGAGGUAUCAGAAGUGCGAAUGCUGACAUAAGUAACGAUAAAGCGGGUGAAAAGCCCGCUCGCCGGAAGACCAAGGGUUCCUGUCCAACGUUAAUCGGGGCAGGGUGAGUCGACCCCUAAGGCGAGGCCGAAAGGCGUAGUCGAUGGGAAACAGGUUAAUAUUCCUGUACUUGGUGUUACUGCGAAGGGGGGACGGAGAAGGCUAUGUUGGCCGGGCGACGGUUGUCCCGGUUUAAGCGUGUAGGCUGGUUUUCCAGGCAAAUCCGGAAAACCAAGGCUGAGGCGUGAUGACGAGGCACUACGGUGCUGAAGCGACAAAUGCCCUGCUUCCAGGAAAAGCCUCUAAGCAUCAGGUAACAUCAAAUCGUACCCCAAACCGACACAGGUGGUCAGGUAGAGAAUACCAAGGCGCUUGAGAGAACUCGGGUGAAGGAACUAGGCAAAAUGGUGCCGUAACUUCGGGAGAAGGCACGCUGAUAUGUAGGUGAAGCGACUUGCUCGUGGAGCUGAAAUCAGUCGAAGAUACCAGCUGGCUGCAACUGUUUAUUAAAAACACAGCACUGUGCAAACACGAAAGUGGACGUAUACGGUGUGACGCCUGCCCGGUGCCGGAAG
rnacentral:rRNA from 1 species